rnacentral:rRNA from 1 species
UAGGGAAUAUUGCGCAAUGGGCGAAAGCCUGACGCAGCGACACCGUGUGAAGGAUGAAGGUCUUCGGAUCGUAAACUUCUGUCAAUUGGGGACGAAGGUAGUAAGGUUAAUAGCCUUUACUAUUGACGGUACCUAAAAAGGAAGUCUCGGCUAACUCCGUGCCAGCAGCCGCGGUAAGACGGGGGAGGCAAGCGUUGUCCGGAAUUAUUGGGCGUAAAGAGCUCGUAGGUGGUACAUUAAGUCAUUUGUGAAAACUUUAGGCUUAACUUAAAGAAUGCAAGUGAUACUGGUAUACUUGAGCACAGUAGAGGAAAAUGGAAUUCCUGGUGUAGCGGUGAAAUGCGCAGAUAUCAGGAAGAACACCAGUGGCGAAGGCGGUUUUCUGGGCUGUUGCUGACACUGAGGAGCGAAAGCUAGGGGAGCGAACAGG